CCUAACACAUGCAAGUCGAGCGGAUGAAGGGAGCUUGCUCCUGGAUUCAGCGGCGGACGGGUGAGUAAUGCCUAGGAAUCUGCCUGGUAGUGGGGGAUAACGUCCGGAAACGGGCGCUAAUACCGCAUACGUCCUGAGGGAGAAAGUGGGGGAUCUUCGGACCUCACGCUAUCAGAUGAGCCUAGGUCGGAUUAGCUAGUUGGUGGGGUAAAGGCCUACCAAGGCGACGAUCCGUAACUGGUCUGAGAGGAUGAUCAGUCACACUGGAACUGAGACACGGUCCAGACUCCUACGGGAGGCAGCAGUGGGGAAUAUUGGACAAUGGGCGAGAGCCUGAUCCAGCCAUGCCGCGUGUGUGAAGAAGGUCUUCGGAUUGUAAAGCACUUUAAGUUGGGAGGAAGGGCAGUAAGUUAAUACCUUGCUGUUUUGACGUUACCAACAGAAUAAGCACCGGCUAACUUCGUGCCAGCAGCCGCGGUAAUACGAAGGGUGCAAGCGUUAAUCGGAAUUACUGGGCGUAAAGCGCGCGUAGGUGGUUCAGCAAGUUGGAUGUGAAAUCCCCGGGCUCAACCUGGGAACUG
rnacentral:rRNA from 1 species